rnacentral:rRNA from 1 species
GAUGAACGCUAGCGGCAGGCCUAAUACAUGCAAGUCGAACGGAACAAUUUUUUCGGAGAUUGUUUAGUGGCGCACGGGUGAGUAACGCGUACACGACCUACCUAUAAGAGGGGAUAGCCUUGGGAAACUGAGAGUAAUACCGCAUAUGAUUUCGAGAUUGCAUGAUUUUGAAAUUAAAGCUGAGGCGCUUAUAGAUGGGUGUGCGUUCUAUUAGCUAGUUGGUAGUGUAACGGACUACCAAGGCGACGAUAGAUAGGGGCGUGAGAGCGUGGCCCCCCACACGGGUACUGAGACACGGACCCG